rfam:Ochrobactrum anthropi ATCC 49188 chromosome 1, complete sequence.
GCAAUGCUUACAGCAUGUCUCCCGAAAGUGGGAACCGGUUUCGGGAUAAAGACAUGCGUGAAAACAAGAGAUUAAAGCAUGUCGCUUGAACACGAUAAAGCACGACGUGCUUUAGGCUACGGAGUAUCGGGGUAAUGAUGCAGAAAGAUGCUGGAAUUCUGGCGGAUGCGGAUAUUUCCGCGCUGUUUGAAAGC